UAGAAAACCAAAUCAUGUUUAAGCAGUUCUUCUAGGGUGGAUUAUUUAGCAUGGCAUACAAAACAAAAUUGCACCACCAUUGAUACACUGUAGAGGAACUGGAUGUUUUGGGAUCUAUUUUGCAGGAAGAGUAAAAUACCCAUCCAAAAAGAAGUCACAUAAAUAAAACCACCACCACUACUCACUAUCCACCCACCCAAGAGGAAGAGGAGGAGGAAAAAGAAUCACACUCUUUCAAAUUAACAUAGUUGCAAAAGCAUGAUUCACACCAGCAAAAUUCAAGUUUACAAUAUAUAUACACACACACACACACUAUUCAGCUUAAUAGUUUGCAUCUUAAAGUAUGGUGUUUUUAGUAUUAAUUUGCGAGUUUGAAUAAAGUCCCACCAAAAUCAUGUUUGGUGAUGACAUGUUAUCUGCCUGUUGUCUAAGUGUUCACCAUAAUUAAGUAUUUUUAUGCUAAUCGAUCCUUGUAUAAUGGAUCUUUUGAGGAUAUCUAUUAAACUGAGAUAAUAUUUUUGUGUUUGUGUGUGUGCACGCAUACCCUUCUAGGUGAAAUUUAAAAACCAUAUGUAUAAUGCAUUAAAUUUAAUCAUAACUAAUUGGCAACU
rnacentral:misc_RNA from 1 species